AUUUGGUUCGCAAAGGUUUUGGAUAAAGCGGGCUGCAACUCAAGGUUAUUCUUUAUGUCAGUGUCUUUAUAUGCAUGUAGAGUUUUCUUUGUUUCCAUUUUGGUAUAGAAAUGAGCUUAUCCAAGAAAGGGUCUCAAACCAGCAAUACGAAGCUGAAUAUUCCAAACAAGGCAACUGCUUUGAAUCCCAAUGCUGCAGAGUUUAUUCCCUUCUUUCUCAGAUCAUCAUCUUCACCAUCUGGAAG
rnacentral:misc_RNA from 1 species